rnacentral:lncRNA from 1 species
AUAUUGUGGCCCAAUUAAUCAUAUUCAAAUUAGAAUUUACUAUAGAUAAAGGUCAAUCCUAACAUAUAUAGAACUACUUGGUAUAAUAUAUUUUAUCCAUAUCCUAUCUAUUGUAAAUUUAAAUAGAAUCCUAAUCAGACUUUGAUGGGAAGUCGAUUUGAACUCUAUAUAAAGGGGUAUUGGUCCUGUCACCUUCUCAUACGCAUUCUGGUGAAGAAUUACCAUCGGUUCCACACCAUACGGCAGAGUGCCUGAAAAAGGAGAAGAAACCAAAUCACCCAAGUUCGGUUCGUGAUUUUCAGAUCAUAGCCGGACUUCACGCUUCCGCAGAUUGAUCAGAAAUUUCUUCUCUAUGGCGCUCUGUGAGUUAUUUUAUCUUAUUUGAUCCUGGAUUUUGGUAUGUAUUUAAUUUGUUUCAUAUUUUACAUACCUUGAAAUUCUAUCAAUGGUAUCAGAGCCAUGAUUGCUAAAUUAAAUAUUGUAUGUGUUAUGUAAUUGGAUCAAAUUAUGAUUAAUUUUGAGUUUUCAUAAUAUAAGGUUUUACGGUUCUUGAUCCAAAUUAAGUUUGAAUAGUCCUCUUGAUCACAUGAGCCAUGCUCGGCUGCGGCGGUGCCAUGAUUGUUAACCCUUUGGAAAUUGGGUUAAUAUUAAGGUGCGGCAUAUGUUGACCACGCGGCUUCGAACAUGUGUAGUGGUCAAGAUUUAUUAAUUAGUUGGCUUCUUUUAAACUGAUAUUAGCCAAUUAAAGAUUGGCUCUAAUUUUAUAUGCUUUAUUUUAAUGUUGCAUUAAACUUAGAGUCCGGUUCUUGUUUCUGAAAUUGAGAUGGGGUGAUUUUUUUUUGGAGAUGGUCGAGUCCGACCAACUAAAAAUUUUCUUUGGUUCCACAUCGGACCUCAAGCAUUAUUAAUUAAUUGCAAGGCUCCUUUUGCAAAUUAAUUUAUUAAGGAGUCCGUUGGAAUGUGUUUAUACAAUCUCUUUUAUUCAAUGGAAUUUGUAUAUAUCAAAAUUUGAUCCUGUUUGUUAAAUUAUAGUGAACAUAGAGAAUCCGUUCACAUAUAAGGAUUUAAUUUUACAUACAAUAUUUAGUUUAUCAUAAAUUUGUGGUCAAAUUAGGAUAUAUAAAGUUUAAAUUUGAUUGCGAUGUCAUGUUUUAAAUUAUCGCAUCUAUAUUCUUAUUUGGACCAGAUAAACAUGAAAAUUAAAUAAUCAUAAUUGUUUUUUGAUUAUUUAAUAUUUGUUGCUAAGUUAAAUUAAUUUACUAUUUCGAUUAGUUAGGUGCAAGCCAAAGCGGCCCUAAUUAAAAGAAAUAAUAAUUUAAUUUACUUUAAAGUAGCGCUUCCGGAUAAUUUUCAUGUUAAUCAUGCAGCAUUAAGUCAGAUUAAUUUAUUGCUUCAACUGUUCGGGUGCAAGCCAAAGCGGUCUUGACCGGAAGAAAAGAUAAACUAAUUACUUUAAAGAUGUGCAUGCAGAAAUUGCACCAUAAUAUUAUGUUUAGUCUGCUCCCAAAAGAGGUCUAGACAUGAAGGUAUAUGGGUGGUGCAGGAUGGUAAUUUUUUUAUAACUCAUUUGGAGAAAUUUGUCUGGCCAAAGCUGACGAUUUUUUCAUAUGAAAAAUUUGAAAUUACUAAGACCUGCAAAAAGUUUCAUUAGUUUCUGAUAAAGAGAUUGCAUAUUUAUCUCAUAACUCUACUCUCAAAGAAGGGAUUGUGAUUUCAUAUAAAGUAUAUGCAUAAAGAAUGAUUGCAUAUUUAUACUCAUAACUCUGCUCCCAAAGGAGGGGUUGUGAUGUCAUAUAAAGCAUAUACAUAAAGAACGAAAAAUACUUAUGCUCAUAACCCUGCUCCCAAAGGAGUGGGUUGUGAUGUCAUAUAAAGUGUAUUUUUCUAAUUUUGGUAUGGUAAUUUAUGAUGUGGUAUUUUAUUGAUAAAGCAUGCAUUUUAUUUUUUAGCUAUGACUCCAUUUUCUGUUCCUAUUGGUGAAUCUAUUUUUAUAUUUAAUGGUUCUAAUUAUUCGGAGUGGAAAGAACAAGUCAUGCUUACAUUAGGGCGUAUGAAUUUAGAUUUGGCUCCGCACCUUGAGCAACCGCCUAAGAUAGUGGGGUUAUUGACUCCACGGCAGGAAUCCGCGCAGAAAAAGUGAGAACGAUUCAACCGCUUAAGUUUGAUGCUCAUAAAGUCAAGGGUAUCAAAAAGUAUAAGGGGAUCAAUCUCAGAAUAUGAUAAAGCCAAAGACUAUCUAAAGGCCAUUAAGGAGCAAUUUGUCAGCUCCGAUAAAGCCUUGGCAAGCACCUUAAUGAAUAAACUGUCUUCCAUGAAGUACUCCGGAAAUGGCUCGAUUCGCGAGCAUAUUAUGGAAAUGCGAGAUAUUGCAGCGCAACUCACCGCACUUGAAGUAACCAUCUCUUAUUCAUUCUUAGUGCACUUUAUUUUGAACUCUUUGCCAUUUGAAUACAAACCAUUUCAGAUCUCUUAUAACACACAUAAAGAUAAAUGGUCAAUUAAUGAAUUGCUGACCAUGUGUGUGCAAGAGGAAGACAGAUUAAUACAAGAGAAACAAAAUGCAGUCAACUUUGUUUCUCAAAAGAGACAAAUAAAGCGUGCUAAGAAUGGUAAGGGCAAGAAUGACUCAAAAAGAAAGAACAAGGAAGUUCCAUCUGAUUCACAAGGCCAAUCAAGUAAUUGGACUCGUAAGUACUUCUUUUGUAUGAAAAAGGGUCAUAUAAAGAAGGACUGCCAAAAGUAUCAGAAAUGGCUCCAGAAGAAAGGUAAAUUUCUGGUUUUGAUGCAUGAGUUGCAUUUAGUUUCUGUUCCAUCUAAUACUUGGUGGAUUGACUCUGGUGUCACAUGCCACGUGGCGAAUUUCGUGCAGGGAUUUCAGAAUCGCAGAAAACCCAGUAAAGAUGAAGCGACUAUCUAUACAGCUGAAGGAAAUCCAACUAAAAUAGAAUUUGUAGGAACAUUUAGAUUAAUUCUUUCUACUGGUCACUUUUUGGAUUUAGCCGAUACAUUUUAUGUUCCAAAUUUUUCUAAGAAUUUACUUUCUAUUUCGAAACUUGUUGAAUUGGAAUAUAGUUUUAGUUUUAAUAAUAAAGUUUUUUCUUUAUCCUAUAAAUCUCAGAUAGUUGGCUCUAGUGUUUUGGAAAAUAAUCUAUAUAAAGUAUUUUUAGAUGAUUCAUUUAGUAAAAUCCUUCUUACCAUGCACGAAAAUGUUGGAUCAAAACGUGGCAUUAAUAAUGAAAAGUCAUCCAUGUUAUGGCAUAAGAGGUUAGGACACAUCUCAAAAUAGAGAAUCCAAAGAUUAAUUAGAGAAGGCAUCUUAAAUGAUUUGGACUUCUCUGACUUUGGAAUGUGUGUGGACUGCAUAAAGGGAAAGCAGACCAAAACCUCUUCUAAAAGUGCUAAAAGAUGUAAUAAAACAUUAGAGUUGAUUCAUACCGAUAUAUGCGGACCUCUUCCUCUAUCAAUUACUGGCCAUAGAUAUUUUAUCACAUUUACUGAUGACUACUCUCGAUAUGGCUAUCUCUACUUGCUUAAAGAAAAAUCUGAAGCAUUAGAUGCCUUUAAGGCAUAUAAGGCUGAAGUAGAGAAUCAACUCUAGAAAAGGAUAAAAGUAGUCAGAUCAGAUAGGAGUGGUGAAUAUUUUGGUAGACAAACAGAUAAAGGCCAAAUUCCUGGGCCUUUUACUAAGUUUCUGGAGCAGAGCGGAAUUGUUCCAUAGUACACCAUGCCAGGGACAUCUGAUCAGAAUGGUGUUGCUGAAAGAAGGAACCGCACAUUAAUUGAUAUGCUCAGGAGUAUGAUCAGUAAUUCUAUCCUUCCGAUAUCAUUGUGGAGUGAGGCACUCAAAAUAGCCCUGUAUAUUCUUAAUCGGGUCACUACUAAGGCUGUCACUAAGACUCCUUUUGAGUUUUGGACAGGUAGGAAACCCAGUUUAAGACAUUCUCAUACAUGGGGUUGUCAAGUUUAAGGCCAAAUUAUAUGAUCCACAAAUAAAGAAAUUGGACCCUCGAACCAUAUCAGGAUAUUUUAUUAGUUAUUCAGAAAGGUUCAAAGGGUAUAAAUUUUACUCUCCAUCACUUCCUAUAAAGAUUUCAGAAGCUAAAACAGCACGGUUUAUUGAGGAUGGUGCAAUUAGUGGGAGCUCUGAACCUCAGUUCAUUGAAUUUAAAAAAAAAAAAUUCAAGAGCAUUCGGAUUCUGUACUUGACAGACCCACUAUUGUCCCUCAUGAUUUGAUGAUUCCUAUUCCAGUAGAACAACAAAUUGUUUUGGAACCACAAAAUCAUUGUGAACCUAUCAUUGAUAAUUCACACCAAGAUGUACAAGUGAAAAAUUCACAUCAAGAUGUACAAGUUGAUAAUUCACAUUAAGAUGUACAAAUGAAUACUCACAUCAAGAUGUACAUGUGGAUAAGCAGAUAGAUUUAAGAAAAUUCUCAAGACAGAGAAAAACUGGCUAUAUCUAGUGAUUAUAUCUUCUAUCUUUAUCUGAAUGGCCAGAGUUUAGAUGAUCCUCUUAGUUUUUUCGAAGCCAUAAAUAAUAAUAAUUCUACAGAAUGGUACAAUGCCAUGAAGGAUGAGUUGAAUCCAUGAACCACAAUAAGGUAUGGGAUCUUGUUGAGUUACCUAUAGGAGUUUAACCCGUAGGAUGCAAGCGGGUUUAUAAAAUCAAAUGGAACUCCAAAAGUAACAUAGAGAGAUAUAAGGCCCGUCUUGUGGCAAAAGGAUUUACUCAAAAAAGAAGACAUUGACUAUAAAGAGACUUUCUCUUUAGUAUCUAGAAAGGAAUCUUUUCGUAUUAUUAUGCUCUGGUUGCUCAUUUUGAUCUCGAGCUACACCAGAUGGAUGUCAAAACUAUUUUUAAAAUGGAGAUCUCUAUGAAGAGGUAUAUAUGAAUCAAUUUGAAGGAUUCUCGUAAAAGGGAAAGGAGCACUUGGUAUGCAAAUUAAAGAAAUCAAUAUAUGGACUAAAGCAGGCCUUCCGACAAUGGUAUUUAAAAUUUAAACAAACUAUUUUAACUUUCGGUUUUAAGAAAAAUAUUGUUGAUCCAUAUAUUUAUUUAAACGUUAGUGGGAGUAAAAUAAUUGUCUUAGUCCUUUAUAUUGAUGAUAUUUUGUUUGCCAGUAAUAAUUUUGGGCUAUUGCAUAUAAGCCCAGUGUUGCUUCUGUCCAGAAAGGGGACAAACUUAAUGCUUUUUAAUACCCCAAGAACUAAUUAGAAAUUGAACAGAUGAGAAAAACAUAUGCUAUGCCUUUAUAUUUGGUAGUCUUGUGUAUGGACAAACGUGCACACGUCCGGAUAUUGCUUUUGUUGAUGGAUUACUUUGCAAGUAUCAAAGUAAUCUAGGUAUGGAAUAUUGGAAGGCUGCUAUUAAGGUUAUGAGGUAUUUAAAAGGAACUUUGGAUCAUAUUGCAUGUUACGAGACCACAUUACAGGCUAUCUGGCUUAGGAAUUUUAUCACAGACUUAAGAAUUGUGGACUCCUGUAUUUAUCCAAUAAAGAUUUUCUGUGAUAGUUCAACUGCUGUUUUCUUUGCUAAUAACAACAAGAUUACAGUAGGGUGUAAACACUUGGACACCAAAUAUCUUGUUAUGAGAGAAAAGAUGGAGAAAGGUUAUGUUGCAAUUGAGUAUAUCAGUUUCAAGUGUAUGAUUGCAAACCCAAUGACCAAGGGGCCGGCACCUGGGUCAUAUAUAGAUUGUGUUAAAGGUAUGGGUUUGAUUAGUUCUUUUGAUGUAUAAAUAGUAACAUCUAUCUUUUCAAUAAAAUUAAAGUUUAAUGCAGCUAUGUUGGACCAUUUAAUAGACAUAAAGUUUCGUCUAUUAACGAAUGAACAUACAGUUUAAGUUCAUUCAUAAAGUUUUGCCAUAUAAAGUACUCGACUAGGAGAUGAAGAUGAUACGGUAAUUAUGGAAGGAAAAUUUCGUUAUAAAGAGGUGGACUGCCAUAGUUCCUAUCAUUAUAGUCUUUUAGUUUGAGCUAAAGAUCAAGUGAGUUCUAAGGUAUUUGACCAUAAAGUUUCCAAUAAUGCGAAAUAAAGUUUGGAGUAUAGAAAAUUCGUUAAUGGAAUAUAAUUAAUAUAAACCAAGUGGGAAAUUAUUAGGAUUUCCAUAUAUUGUGGCCCAAUUAAUCAUAUUCAAAUUAGGAUUUACUAUAGAUAAAGGUCAAUCCUAACAUAUAUAGAACUACUUGAUAUGGUAUAUUUUAUUCAUAUCCCAUCUAUUUUAAAUUUAAAUAGAAUCCUAAUCAGACUUUGAUGAGAAGUCGAUCUGGACUCUAUAUAAAGGGGUAUUGGUCUUGCCACUUCUCAUACGCAUUCUAGUGAAGAAUUACCAUCGGUUCCACACCAUACGACAGAGUGCCUGAGAAAGGAGGAGAAACCAAAUCACCAAGUUCGGUUCAUGAUUUUCAGAUCAUAGCCGGACUUCACGCUUCCGCAGAUUGAUCAGAAAUUUCUUCUCUAUGGCGCUCUAUGAGUUAUUUUAUCUUAUUUGAUCAUGAAUUUUGGUAUGUAUUUAAUUUAUUUCGUAUUUUACAUAUCUUGAAAUUCUAUCACUUUUUAGUAUUU